AUCGAGGGGUCCCGUAAAUUUGUCCAUGGGAAGAAGUGUUUUCCUUCAUAGUGCUUUGUGAAGUGUUGGCCUUCCGAGAUCUAUUUCGUGCAUUUUUUAGGAUGUUUCGUAUAGCUCUACGAGAUUUGUUAUGAAUUUUUCCUUGCAUGCCGCGUAUUAUGGGUAAAACAUAGCGGGCUUAAAGUGAAUUGUGGAAUGUAUCGAACUUCGUCGAUUGUCAACACGUUUAGGUUUUCCGUUAACUAUUUUGUUGUUUGGACUGAGUUUCGUUACGAAGAAUUUAUCAUAUGAUUUCCAACUGUGGGGUAUACGAUAAUUGUUCUCUUAAUAGUCACACGACAUUUGUAGACAAACCGUAGAUUGUCGUUUAGCUUCUAAGUGAUGGAGCGAUGGUUUCUCAAAUAGUUUGGCUUGGCGUGAAGGAUGUGUUCACUCUGAUAGUCAAGGACAUUAUAGGUCAAGGAUUAGACCAUGGUACUUUCGUGUUUAACAUUAAGGUCAUGUUAGUUUACGAUCGUCCUUAAAGGGGAUGCCAAAUUCUGGUUUGGACCUUUACUGGAAGGCGUAAUUGACCGAGGGCC
rnacentral:lncRNA from 1 species